CCCUGUGUUAAGCAGCUGUUUUUUUUUUCUUUUUUCUUUUGCAUGAUCAUGUAUGACAGGCUUCACUGUGUAUCAUUAUAUUAGUAAACCAAGGCAAAACAAACACCAUUAACUCAAAAAUAACCACCAGUACCGUAACUUUUAUUUGCUAAUAAAUAUCUUAAUAAACAGGCUUACCCCAUCCGUAAGACCUGAUAAUGCCUCUUAGGAAAUCAUAGAAAAAUAAAAUACAAUAAUAAUCAGUAACUUGUACUUUGUACAAAAAUCUUAUUAUGUUGCUCAGCAGGUAGCUUUGCCAAACCCCAUAUUCUUUCUGCAAAGAGAUGGCAUAUGUAAUGCGAUUCACCUUAAAAACACUCUAAUGUUGAGAGCUGAGCAUUCUAUUACACUAUUCACUCGUAGGCAUGCCAGCACAUGAGAAUUUACAUGGAACAUCGUAUUAUCAUAGGAAUAGAAUUAAAAGAAAUGAUAACGCCACUUUUCAGAAAGUAAUAACUUCACUUCUAAUGUAAAUUCCCCUUGGGUCUGGAAAAUCAGUAUAUUCAGGUUUUUAUUUCAUGGCUAUUCCUGCAGUACUGUUAUAAACCGGCCAAAAGACAGAAAGAAAAAAUGUGCUCGGAGCACACGUGGGAGAUAAACUGCAUGAAAAAAGGUUGUUCUGAACAGUGGGGCACAGUCACAGUACCAGCUAUGGAAUGUUCAGUCUCUCAGAAUUAGCAGACCUCGCCUGCUGUGCGCAAUGCGACACAGGUUCAGACCGAUGAAGAUACAACUCAGAGGCACAGUGCCAAGGUUGCUUUGCUGUGAGAUGAAUGGUGAAGAUUCAGUUACAGGUAGUCAUCAUUAUGCAAAUAUAUCUUGGCGAGAAGAAAAAAAGCAGCUGAAAAACAACUGUGUUCCGGGGUCUUAAAAGAAAGAGUGGUUGCCAGAGUACUGAUAAGGAUAAGAGAUCUGGGCUGAGGCCAUGGUUUGUCUGUAAAAUGGUUUGCAAGUAUGAUUAUGCUGUUACUUUUGAAGCCAUCUACCUUUAAAGUUUUGACAUGGCUGCUUAAAUAUACAACAUGUCUGUCAUCAAAUAGUUAUUCAUAUAUACACAUACAUUGAUACAUUUUAUGGCUAUGCUAGAACAGCAGACUAUGAAGAGCAGUCAUAUUCAAUUGUGUACAGUCUAAUUUCACAGAAGAGAUAAGAGAUCAAAACUUUAAUUGAUAUACGUUUAAAACCAACACAGAGAAAUAGAAGCUAUCCUGAGGAAACGUACUGACCCCAUUGUGUCCCAAGAGAAAAAAUGAAAGCUAAUUUUUGGAAGGUAAACAAACAUUAUUUUUUUUUUCUGCAAAUGAAAUAAUAAUUAAAAAAGAAGAUGAGAAAGCGAAAACAAUUGACACCAACUUGAUCAGUGAAGUUUGAUUUGCUAGAAAGUAAACAAAUGCCUUUCAGUAGAUAUGGUUUCAUGUGAUCUUUUUAAGCCUUUUUUUUCCCUUGUUAAACUGCAGAAGCAAUCCUGAGGAUUGUAGAGUAUCUGCUGUUGUUACUGAAGUCCAUAGGAGUUGUACUGCACCAAACAAGAGCAAGCCUCUUUUGUUAGUCUUUGGGUUUUCAAUCACAGCAGCACCAUGUAUGAUGUAACUGAUAACAUAAGGGAAUUUUGACAUUGGAACCGUGGCUCUAGGUAAGAAUAACGUAUGCUGAAAUACUGAUUGAGCCCAAUUCCUUCACUGGUUAACCAAGAAACAACUUUUCCCACUCCUAUCUGAAAUAGCUUUCUUCCUCAUGGAGAAAACUCAGAAGAAAUUGCUGCAGAAGAAAUGACAUUAAAAAUAUAUAUGACCAAUUCAAACCCAACUAUUUACUGGGGAGAGGCUGACACAGAAUCAUGGCCAUAAGUUUUAAAAUGUUUGUGUUUAUGUGUUGGGUAUUUUAGAGUAGCGUGGUUUUCUUGAAAUAUAGAAUUAAUGAAAGAGUCCAGUAAAUAGUAUGACUAGGAGGGCAUUAUUUAUUUUAUUUGCUGCUGUGCCAUUAAUUAACUGGCAAAUCUCAGACCUUAAGCUGCAUUGUACUAGGAGUGUGAAACAGAGUUUGUUCAAAGUGGAAAAUUGCAAUAACUGCCAUUAUGAAGGGGAGAUCAUAUUGUAUAAUGCUGCGUGUUAAAGAAGAGAGACAAAUCCUACAGAUAAAGGUCGUAUUCUUUGUUGAUGGGGAAGGUUUGUUUUAUUUAGUCCAAACUCAGUGAUGGUAACCCACUGCAGAUAAAACAACAGUUCAACAACUGUGUUUUGUACCUUGCUUGUGCCACACUGAAGGUAACCAUAAUCUCUUUUCACACAUUCCUGAGGUAGCAGCAUUGUAUGAUCAGUGCACUCUCUUUUCCCUUAUUAAAGCAGGCCAUUCAUUCCAUACAAAUCUUUGGAAACCCUUGAUCCCAAACCUUGUUUCAGUCCAUUGAUAGCUACUUAGGGAUUUAAGUGAUUUUGGAUCAUGCCUCAAAUGAUCAAGCUAAUCUCAGCCUGAACCCUCAAUAAAGAAAUGAAAACUUGCAUAAAGUUUUAGCAAUACAUUUGAAUGACAAGAGAGCAUGCGUACCAAUAAAUGUUGGUUCUCCAACAGCAAACCAACCGUGACAGUAGUAAAAUGAAGAAAGGGAGAAUUUAUUAGGAAAGCUGAAUGCUACAACUGUCUCUAUAAGAUAGGGCUUCAUCCUACUGACACCGAAGUCAGUAUCAAACUCUUAAGCCACAACAAAACAUUGCCUAUUGACAACGAAACUAAUUCCUCACACAAUUACGUAAUUGUUGCUGGAAUUAAUUUAAAAAAGUUAUUAAAAUCCUUCAAUAGAAUGUGAAAAUAGUAGGUAAUUUAGAGUAGAACCUUCCCAAGGCAAAAAAGUAAUUGUGAAGUUGGCAUUUAGUAACUAAAAGAAUCUAUGGAUUUGAAACACUGGCUGCAAUUUUUGUCUUUUUCAUCUAAUCUUAUGUAGCGCUUAAUGAGAUGGUGAUGUAAGCUGUAUGAAUCAAAACAUUCAGCUUGAUAAGAGACAUUCUUGCUUUGCUUUUCCUUUUUUGCUUCUCAUUGUCACGUGGAACUCAGUCUGGACGAAAUUGAUCAUUUGGUGUGUAAUCCACUCUUAUCUACACAGCUCUCCUGUUUACUGUUUGCUUAGGUUCCUCUCAAAAAAGCCAAUAUGCAUCAAGAAGAGAAAUUAGUCCUUCAGUUAUAUGUUUAGGAAAUAAAACUGUGUCUACUGGAAGUUCUAAAUUAUGACAACUGUACCUUUUUUCUUUAUCAUAGGCUGGACCCCGGAAAACCAGCAAAUAGAUUUCUUUUCUGCCACUGCUCUAGGGGACACUCAGAGCAUUACGCUGUGCUGAUACUAUGAAAAUACUCCCCUUACUGAUUCAAUGGGCAAUUUUUCACAAUCAGAAAUAAUUGGAUUCUAAUGCAGAUGUUCCCCAGAUUCGAUCUUCCAGAUCCUAGUGGUAAGGUUACUCUCCAAACAGGGCUCCAGCCAUCACGGAGUUCACAAUACAGACAGGUAGAUUUCUUUGAGAUUUUGAGUUCUCAGGGUUUUGCCUUAUCUAUGUGCUGCUUAGCAGCUCUUCACUGAGUUGUCAAUAAAAAGAAGUAUUAGUAUUUAUGAAGUUGUAAUCAGCUUGCAUGUUAGAGAAGAAUAUUCCCCAAAAUGAAACAGGAGGUUUUCUCAUAAUAAUGAAUAUGGUGACUCUCAAGGGAACCAUACAUAGAAUUGAAUUUGAAAAGGACAAAAUUAUGUUGUCUCAUUCUGCCUUACAAAUAUACAAUAAGAGCUGGGAUUUGCAAGCAUUUUAUGCCUAACUCUACUCAUGUAAAUAGUUCAGUUUCUAGUCAGCCUCUUUAUCUAAAUGAAGCCACACAAACACUGACCUCUUUACAUAUUCAGGUGUUUCUGAACAUGGUACAGUACAUACGUUAUUUCUGGAACACACGUAUAGUUACCAACUAGUCAAGUACUCAGAUACUUAGACACAGUUGAAAAUUUGGAACAUGAACAAAGCAGAACAGGUGAAAACUUGAAAUGCUUUUGAGAUUGAUCUUAUUAAUAUACUUUUCCACAUCUUCAUUGCCAUAACUUAGCCUUAUUAGUUUCAGUUUGAUUAGACAGGCAUGAAAAACCAGAUAAUAUGUUAACCCUUUGUGGAAGAGAGAUGUACUUGUGAAAUCUCCUGUGUGAAAGGAAAGUAAGAAAUAGUGAUGUAGAAUUUUCAAAGAAACAUGCACACAAAUAGAUUUCACGAUGUGAACUGGUGUUAUUUCACAUAUAAAAUAUGGAAAUUCAUUUUAACCUACUCAUUUUUUACUCUUCUGCUCUUACAUUUGUCUUUUGUUGUUUUUCCUUUCUAAAAUUCAACAUAUCUUUUUAUAGUACGCACUGGCAAAUCAUUACUCGCAUUCCCUUGAAUUUUUCCCCCAUUUUAACCUCGACAGAGUCUAUAAAUGAUUAUUUAAAAGAAAUCAUCUAUAUACUGAUCAUCUUUGGUGACUUCAGCAGAGGUACUCAAACUUUUUAUAGCAUGGACUAUAUUGAACUAAAAAAGCUUUUUUUUCUUUUUCUUUUUUUUUUUUUCUGCCUGUGAAGGGAGGAAGAGAGAGGCUGUCAUCCAUUUCCAGACAACAAACCAAGGAAGCUUGGGAAGCUUAAGAUUUUAAGUGCCAGUGGAGAAGAUCAACCCUAUUAUCAUUAUUGAGAGCCAGGUAAUUCAUUUAUGUACGCUUGAAAAAUCUCAGGCAUUAUGAUAUACAUCAUAUUUACAAUUCUUUAUAUACACAUCCACAUAUUUUUUAUAUCUAUUAUGUACUCAGUAUCUCCUACUCCAUAAUCUGAGGAUCUAUAUACAACCAUAGCAUUCACAAAUGAGCAGUGCACAGUAUAUGAUGGUAGAAGAUAUUUGUGGACUCUAAAUACAUGGAACUGUUUUUGUGCCGUUUCUUUUGUUUUUGUUAGAACUCUUUGGCACAAUAUGGACAGCUUUUUUCUUUCACCUUAUUCUAAUCUUUUUAGAUUUUUUUUUCCUUUUUCAGUACUGAUUCAUUUGUCUCUCUGAGAGAUUUCAAGAUGACUGUAGUACUUGGUGUUAGCCCAACCUAACAGAUCUCUCUCUUACUCUUUAAGAAAAAAAAAUACUUAAAGAAAAAAAAAUGUUAAUAAAGGAAAAAAAUAUUAUCUUUGCAAUUUACGCAGGAAAGAUCAAUUACAGUUAGGGAGCAAGGGCAUUCCGAAAGAAAUCUGUUUAACAGAAUACACUACUCUUCAACUAUGCACAAAUGCCAUGAUAAAUUAAGUAUCUCAAUUUUUAAUACUUUUCCUAGAAGAUACAAUAGACCAAAGCCUUUUUAUUAAUAUUCUUUCAUUACUACAAAAGAUGUAUUAGACUAGAUUAGAAGUGAGCCCUCC
ensembl:lncRNA